rnacentral:rRNA from 1 species
UUCUCCUGGAAAACGGGUGGUAAUGCCGGAUGCUCCGACUCCUCGCAUGGGGUGUCGGGAAAGAUUUCAUCGGUAUGGGAUGGGGUCGCGUCCUAUCAGGUAGUCGGCGGGGUAACGGCCCACCGAGCCUACGACGGGUAGCCGGCCUGAGAGGGCGACCGGCCACAUUGGGACUGAGAUACGGCCCAGACUCCUACGGGAGGCAGCAGUGGGGAAUAUUGCACAAUGGGCGCAAGCCUGAUGCAGCGACGCCGCGUGCGGGAUGACGGCCUUCGGGUUGUAAACCGCUUUUGAUCGGGAGCAAGCCUUCGGGUGAGUGUACCUUUCGAAUAAGCACCGGCUAACUACGUGCCAGCAGCCGCGGUAAUACGUAGGGUGCAAGCGUUAUCCGGAAUUAUUGGGCGUAAAGGGCUCGUAGGCGGUUCGUCGCGUCCGGUGUGAAAGUCCAUCGCUUAACGGUGGAUCUGCGCCGGGUACGGGCGGGCUGGAGUGCGGUAGGGGAGACUGGAAUUCCCGGUGUAACGGUGGAAUGUGUAGAUAUCGGGAAGAACACC